rnacentral:lncRNA from 1 species
AGUGCUCAUACCGACGCACGAAACUGGAAUAAAAACUAUAAUAACCCUUUCUUUAAAAAAAAAAAAGAAGAUCUAUUCGAAAGAAGAAGGUUAAUGAAUGAUAUGAAUGUGGAGAUCAAAGACAAAGGCGAGCCACUUUUAUAGGAUCAAAAGAGUUUGACCAUGGAUGGAGUUUGUAAUCAAAUUUCAAAAACCAGAGAGAGAGAAAAGAGAGAGUAACCAGUUAAGCUACGAGGUGGUAGGGAAUGGUGGUUUUGGCAAGGGAGAAUAUUGUGGGUGGGUAUGUAUGAUUAAAAGGGUGACUUGAUCAAUCAAACCAUGUGGCGGUUUUUGACGGGUUUUGCCGCAAUAAUAAACUUUGGUUUCAUCAAUUUAAGAAUCUCUAGUAUACCGUAUUCUACGAGGACGAUGCCUCUUUUUGACAAAUCACCGUAACGGCGACGAUGACUACUUGAUAGAGAAAGGUCGAUAUUUUUCUAGAAAAGGAGACUAUUAAUUUAAUGUUUUUUGUAUUUAGUUACCUACCGUACUUGGGUUGUUUUUUUGUUUCCAAUCUUUGGGACUUGUUUGACAAGUCUUUUUUUUUUUGGGGUUCGGUUUGAUGUAUUUUUGGGUUUAUGAGGUUUUUAUUCAAAAUACUACACACAUUUUAAAACUGUAUAAAGAUGGUGGUGUGUUUGUAUAUGUCCAUCUAAACUUCUUGUUAUUGGUUUAUCAAAAAAAAUAUUCCAUUAACAUGAAAGUAAACAAAUACGUUUGGUAACUAGUAUUGAAUUAGGAGAGAUUGGAUACCCGAACCCGAAUGGAUAAUAUCCGAACCCGAAUGGAUAUCCGAAGAUAACCGAACAUAUGUAUAAUUAACCUUAUAUUUCUAGUUUACAUCUCUUAUUUUAUAUAAAAUAUUUAUAUUAAUACUACACAUACUUUAAGUUCAUAUGAUAUACAUGCAAUUACGGAAAAAAUGAUUUGGUACUCACUUAAAAAGCAUGUCAAGUUUUUUUAUUUCAAAAAUUAACAAAAAGUUACAUCCAAAAUUUUAAAACAAUAACUAAAUUAAUGCAUUUUUAGUUUUAAAAUAUUAUGUCCAAAUCUAUUAACCAUUUAAUCUAUUAAAAAUAAAAUAAAAAGUUAAGUAAAAUUUAUAUUCUUAAAUACAAGAAAUUUAAGAAAUGAAAAAUUUAAUUUUUUUUCAAAAUCUAAAUAUCCGAACCCGAUAGGAAAUAACCGAAACCGAACUAAAAAUACCCGAACCCGACCCGAAGUAUAGAAAUACCCGAACGGGUCCUACACCUCUAUACCGAAAUACCCGAAAAUCCGAAAUACCCGACCCGAACCCGAACGGGUACCCGAACGCCCACCCCUAUUCAUUGGCAAUCUUUUUUUGUACCAUAAAACUUAAAAAUAUAUAUAAUAAAAAAAAUUUCAAAUGGGGAUCCAGAAAAAUUUGGGGGCCCAAAGCCUGUGCUUCACCUCGCUGUGCCGAGGGACGCCCCUGACCACAAGAACCAGUUAUGAUCUUCGGCUUGCUGCUCUCCACAGUGCUCAUACCGACGCACGAAACUGGAAUAAAAACUAUAAUAACCCUUUCUUUAAAAAAAAAAAAGAAGAUCUAUUCGAAAGAAGAAGGUUAAUGAAUGAUAUGAAUGUGGAGAUCAAAGACAAAGGCGAGCCACUUUUAUAGGAUCAAAAGAGUUUGACCAUGGAUGGAGUUUGUAAUCAAAUUUCAAAAACCAGAGAGAGAGAAAAGAG